rnacentral:rRNA from 1 species
ACGAACGCUGGCGGCGUGCUUAACACAUGCAAGUCGAACGGUGAAGCGCCUUCCUUUUUGGUGGGUGUGGAUGAGUGGCGAACGGGUGAGUAACACGUGAGUAACCUGCCCCCUUCUUCUGGAUAACCGCAUGAAAGUGUGGCUAAUACGGGAUAUUCUGGGUCUGUCGCAUGAUGGGUCUGGGAAAGAUAUUGUUUCGGUGGGGGAUGGGCUCGCGGCCUAUCAGCUUGUUGGUGGGGUGAUGGCCUACCGAGGCGGUGACGGGUAGCCGGCCUGAGAGGGUGGACGGUCACACUGGGACUGAGACACGGCCCAGACUCCUACGGGAGGCAGCAGUGGGGAAUAUUGCACAAUGGGCGCAAGCCUGAUGCAGCGACGCCGCGUGAGGGAUGGAGGCCUUCGGGUUGUGAACCUCUUUCGCCAGUGAAGCAGGCCUGCCUCGUUUGUGGGUGGGUUGACGGUAGCUGGAUAAGAAGCGCCGGCUAACUACGUG